rnacentral:rRNA from 1 species
GAUGAACGCUAGCUACAGGCUUAACACAUGCAAGUCGAGGGGAAACGACAUCGAAAGCUUGCUUUGAUGGGCGUCGACCGGCGCACGGGUGAGUAACGCGUAUCCAACCUGCCCACCACUUGGGGAUAACCUUGCGAAAGUAAGACUAAUACCCAAUGACGUCUCUAGAAGACAUCUGAAAGAGAUUAAAGAUUUAUCGGUGAUGGAUGGGGAUGCGUCUGAUUAGCUUGUUGGCGGGGUAACGGCCCACCAAGGCGACGAUCAGUAGGGGUUCUGAGAGGAAGGUCCCCCACAUUGGAACUGAGACACGGUCCAA